UACGAAGGUCCCGAGCGUUAGCCGGAUUUAUUGGGUUUAAAGGGUGCGUAGGCGGGUUAUUAAGUCAGUGGUGAAAGCCUACAGCUUAACUGUAGAAUUGCCAUUGAUACUGAUGAUCUUGAGUAUGAUUGAGGUGGGCGGAAUGUGUCAUGUAGCGGUGAAAUGCUUAGAUAUGACACAGAACACCGAUUGCGAAGGCAGCUCACUAAGUCAUAACUGACGCUGAUGCACGAAAGCGUGGGGAGCAAACAGG
rnacentral:rRNA from 1 species